rnacentral:sRNA from 1 species
UGACCGCCUUUCAAAAGGUCAAGGCCACACGGACGGCCGGGUCAGAUGCCGA